AAUUCGAUGCAACGCGAAGAACCUUACUACCCUUGACAUGUCCGGAACUUGCCAGAGAUGGCUGGUGCCGAAGGGAAUCGGAACACAGGUGCUGCAUGGCUGUCGUCAGCUCGUGUCGUGAGAUGUUGGGUUAAGUCCCGCAACGAGCGCAACCCUUAUCAUUAGUUGCUACGCAAGGGCACUCUAAUGAGACUGCCGGUGACAAACCGGAGGAAGUGGGGAUGACGUCAAGUCCUCAUGGCCCUUAUGGGUAGGGCUUCACACGUCAUACAAUGGUCGGUACAGAGGGUUGCCAAGCCGCGAGGCGGAGCCAAUCCCACAAAGCCGAUCGUAGUCCGGAUUGUUCUCUGCAACUCGAGAGCAUGAAGUCGGAAUCGCUAGUAAUCGCAGGUCAGCAUACUGCGGUGAAUACGUUCCCGGGUCUU
rnacentral:rRNA from 1 species